GCCCAGCUGGCUCAGUCUGGUAAUGCAUGAGACUCCUGAUCUCAUGGUUGUGAGUUCAAGCCCCACAUUGGGCA